rnacentral:rRNA from 1 species
CCUACGGGUGGCAGCAGUGAGGAAUAUUGGUCAAUGGGCGUAAGCCUGAACCAGCCAAGUCGCGUGAGGGAUGAAGGUUCUAUGGAUCGUAAACCUCUUUUAUAAGGGAGUAAAGUGCGGGACUUGUCCCGUUUUGUAUGUACCUUAUGAAUAAGGAUCGGCUAACUCCGUGCCAGCAGCCGCGGUAAUACGGAGGAUCCGAGCGUUAUCCGGAUUUAUUGGGUUUAAAGGGUGCGUAGGCGGCCUUGUAAGUCAGCGGUGAAAGUCAGGGGCUCAACCAUGGAAUUGCAGUUGAAACUGGGAGGCUUGAGUAUGUUUGAGGCAGGCGGAAUGCGGGGUGUAGCGGUGAAAUGCGUAGAUAUAACGCAGAACCCCGAUGGCGAAGGCAGCCUGCCAGGCCAUGACUGACGCUGAUGCGCGAAAGCGUGGGGAUCAAACAGGAUUAGAUACCCUUGUAGUC